UACGUAGGCAGCAAGCGUUGUUCGGAAUUACUGGGCGUAAAGAGUGUGUAGGCGGUGUCGUAAGUUUGGCGUGAAAUCUCCCGGCUUAACUGGGAGGGUGCGCCGAAGACUGCGAUGCUUGAGGAUCGGAGAGGAAAGUGGAAUUCUGGUGUAGCGGUGAAAUGCGUAGAUAUCAGAAGGAACACCUGUGGUGUAGACGGCUUUCUGGACGAUUCCUGACGCUGAGACACGAAAGCGUGGGUAGCAAACAGG
rnacentral:rRNA from 1 species